UGUAAACCUGUUUAUUGGCGAGACUGAGUGU
rnacentral:piRNA from 1 species